rnacentral:tRNA from 1 species
UUUGCAGUUCAGUGGUAGAAUGCUUGCCUAGCAUUCAUGAAGCCCUGAGUUCAAUCCCCAGCACUGCAAAA